ACACACACACACACACACACACACACACACACACACAGGGAGGCAGAGCAGCACGCGGCACGCGCGGCACACGGCAAGCCUGGGGACACAACGCUCAGACACACACACAUACAGUACACACACACACUCAGGGCUGCUGAGAGGCAGUGGGAGAAUAUCAGCACGGCAGCAGCAGGAGCAGGAACAGAAAAACACAGCACUGGAAACGCUUCCUCUCUCUCUCUCUCUCUCUCGCUCUCUCUCUCGCUCUCUCUCCUCUGCUCCUCCCUCGCUCCUCUCCUCUCUCUGUCCUCUUGUUUGCCUCACACACACGAGCCAUGAUGCCACCGCGCGGCUCUCUGGAUUAAACUUCGUCUCGUCUCGUCUCUCUCGCGGUCAGGGACCGAUCGCUCGGCUCGCCACACCGUGCUGCGCUCUCUGGGCUGAGGCGGAGGAGCGUUUCUACCCUGCAGGAUUACACACACACACACACACACACACACACACACACACUCUUCCUGCUUUUAUGAAGCCCAGAGAAGCCACCUUCCAUUUUGGCCAUUGAGAAUCAGCGACACGGGUCCAGUAUUCCAUCUGAGAGUGUGUGUGUGUGUGCACUGUAGUGUGUGUGUGAGUGUGUGUGUGUGUGUGUGAGUGUGUGUUCAGCCUCCUGAUGUCUAUCUAGUUCUCUCUGAGCAUGCGGCUCGACAAGGGAGCCCCGACACCACGGGGAUCAAACACCCACAGUGCAGGUGAGCUGUGUGUGGUGUGUGUGUGGGUGU